UACGUAGGGGGCAAGCGUUGUCCGGAAUCAUUGGGCGUAAAGAGCGUGUAGGCGGCCUGCAUAGUCUGGUGUGAAAUCUCGGGGCUCAACCCCGAGCGGUCACUGGAUACUGGCAGGCUUGAGUCCGGAAGAGGAGUGUGGAAUUCCUGGUGUAGCGGUGGAAUGCGCAGAUAUCAGGAGGAACACCUAUGGCGAAGGCAGCACUCUGGUACGUGACUGACGCUGAGACGCGAAAGCGUGGGGAGCAAACAGG
rnacentral:rRNA from 1 species